UGGGGGAAGGGGGACACUUAGGAGACACCUUGGUUCCCAGCUUGAGCAGCCACCAAGGAAUACAGGGGAACAGCCCACCUGGCAAGCAGGCAAAUGACGAAUUUGCUCUGGAGCCCUGGGCCCAGUGACGAACAGCGUUUAUAAUCCACGAAUUUCCAUGGCCUGCUUCGGCCAUCGCACUCUUCCCACUCAUGUGUGUUCUGGAAGCGUUCAGAGGAAACAUCUGCCCCAGAACAUGACAUCACUAAUGUAACAGUCAAUAUUUGACAGAAAUCUAUUUAGCAGACGCUGGCUCUCACCUAGCAACCCGCUCAUCGGCAAACGGAACACCUCACUCCUGACAAUGGAGUUGCCCUUCGUGCUCUGACUGAGGUCAACAAGGAAUUCCCAAUUGGGGACUCCACCCUUCUCCCAGAGACACUGAGACACUGAGAACCAAACUAAAGCAACAGGACUGAGACACUGGGAUGUAGGAAGCAGUGGGUGGAAAAGCUGUGUGCAGAAGCCAGGGGUGGAGGCCAUCGACCACGUGGGUUCUGCCCUCCUGGGUCACUCAGUGUCCAGGGCGGCUGCACGUCAACACCCCCCCACCCCAGGAGCUGGGCCCGGCUGCCGGCUGCCAACGACGCUUACCUCUGGUCUGCAGCAAACCCAGAUGCUGACGUCAGAUGAGCCACACGGCGGGAACUGUCUGGGCUCAUCUGACAGACCCAGCUACAAAAGCGACGUCAUGGAACAGAGGCUGGUCUCUUUUGGCAGCACCGACACAGAGGCCUCUGUAAAGACCAGUUCCCGACAAACAUUUCCAGUUGCCGGUCUUCCUCAGAGUCGUUGUCCAGGGAAAGGGGACGGCGCCACAACGGCUGUCAGGUUGUGAGGACAGUUCUCCCCGAGUCUCUUGAUCGGCCCCCUUUGGGCCCCAGCGACUGGCCCUGACGACUUCUCAGCUCUCUGUCGGCCCCGUCACCUUGCGCCAGCUCCUCAUCGUAGCUGGAAACAGAGGAACAUCUUCAGGACUUGGGAGUGGCAGGGGCAGGCCGAGCUGCAGUGUGCAAAUCCCACGUCGCCCAGGGAAGCGGCCCGGCCCCCACCCUGCAUGCCCCCAGCCUGCCAGCCCACCAAACACUGCCUGAGCCCACAGAGCUGACUGGUACAGCCUUGUUAAAGUAUUUUCAUGAACUGUCCCCGGUUCCCACAGUUGGUUGACAUUUUAUAAAGGCUACCAGAUGGAAGUGGGCAGUGACCCCAAAGGAAACAUGAAUGAGACACCAGGGUGGUGUGGAAAUAAACGGACGUCUGGAAAUACUUUUACACACAGCAUCUGCGGGCGGGUAGGACUGACCCCAUUUCAGAUGGGGAACAGGGUGUGAAUGACCCACCCGGGAGGAGAGGGCCAGGACAGGGAGAGCAGUUCAUCCACAAGAAAGGCCAGAUCCAGCCCCUACCAGCUGAGGACCACGCUGCCCCUCCCCACUAAGUUAUGCCCCCGGCCUGUGGAGUGUUAAGGCACGACCUGCGUAGGAAACAGCCUGGGCUCUUGCCUCAGAAAGAAUGGAGCAGGAGGCUGGGGUGCCCCUGCCUGAUUAUGGCACCUGGGUAGUCCCCGGCCUCUCUCGCCACGGUGAGCCCCCUCUUAUGGGGCCGAUGAGGGUGCAGAAGUAUCACUGCCCACCUGUAGGCCCUGGCAGGUGCAGGCUUUGGCGAAUGGAGUCCCCUGUCCCCACGGUGACUUCACAUCAACCUCCUGACUGAUCCAUACUUCCUAUCUGAGACUUGGAGAGGUUUACUCGGUGUCCUGAGGUCACAGGGCCCAGAUGGGGCAGACGUGGGGUCAGGUAAAACCCAAAACUUCAGAUUCCUAGAUGGGGCAGACGUGGGGUCAAGUAAAACCCAAAACUUCAGAUUCCUAAUUUGGAACUUUUUACCCUGUGGAUCAGGAGUGUGAAAAGCCUUUCUGUUCACUAUGAAACGUCAUUCCGAGGUGUCAUUUGGUGGCCACACCUUGAAUGAGGAUCAUUGAAGAGCACAUUCAUGUCAAAUGCAAAAGCGCACUCAGAACUCGUGUGUCACCAGCAAGCCCGAGUCCUUCCUCCACCUCAUCCUAGAACAUCCCCUGCACCUUCCUGCGCUAAAACCUGGCUCUCCGCGAAGACGCUGCUUCCCUGCAGCCCCUCAAAUGCAGGUCCCCAGCGCUGAUCACUUCCAACCGUCUGCUGACCCCGCACUCAGCCCAGGCAGCUGACCGUAGCUGGAGACAACAACUAACCAUGCCGAGCUCACCUGAAGCUCACCACCGCUGCCCCCGGAGGCCCCACUUCCCUCUGACUUAGCCUUCCACCUUCCCCCGUGCUGCACACAGACGUCAAUGCCAUGCAGGGGCAGAGGUGGCGAGGCGGCCAGCGUGGGCUCUGGAGGCUGAGCCCCCACGCCAGCAGCCUACCUGUGUGGGCCUGGGAUCCAUGUGCAGUGUUCACUACAAAUCUCUUCCUUUGUUUCCUUGAAACGUUAAACGAGCAUUUCUACUCUUAUAGAAGUACUAACGUGAUCCUCACACGUGCCCCUCCCAGUUCGGGGCACUAUUUGCCUCACUUAGCCAGCUCCCCCUCCAUACCUCGCGGCCCACAGGAGUCGCUUCCACGCGGACAAGCUAAUGUGCAUCCCUCCGCACUCAUGUAAGCAAUCCCACAUGUAGAUGUCUGUCCACACUGAGGGAGGGCAGAGGCCUCUGCUUGCUUUACGUGGGCUUUUCUGCAACGUGCUUUCCUCCUCAGCCUCCCAGGCCCCAUGCAGAGCUCCUGGGCCAUGUUUUCAAUGGCCACCCGCUAUUCCAGGGUAUGAAUGAACAGUACUUUGCUCAACCACUGCCCCCUUGACAGGCUCUCACGCUGCUUCCACUUUUUGUCACGGCCAGCAGGCCACUUUACCUCUAAACCUUUGUUCCCACAUGUGUAAGAUGAGUCUCAAUGACAAUACUGACCUCAGGAGGUCGCUGGGGAAAUGGAGCAUGAUAACACGCAGGAGGCACUCAGCACGGUUUCUGGCGCCAUGGUCAGCCCUCGGCUGUCAGGUCUUAUCUUUAGCAUUUCCCGUCUCCCUGACUCUACAAGAUAGCUCACAUUAGCCCCCACUCAAGAUAGACAAGCAGGCUCUAAGAGUUACAGAGACUUUGUCAACGUCCCACAGCUCCAAGCAGCGGGGCCAGGGUGUGAGCUGGGCCUCUCUGCUCCACGGCGGCCAGGGAGAAGGUAAGGCCCAGAGCUCUCCUGCUUCUACCUGCUGCACCUGCCCCAGCGGCUCACAUGGUGCCCAGCAGGUGGCAAACGCUUCAUCAAUAUUGGUUAAGCACAAGAUCCAAAGACCUAGUUUAAUACCCGUUUUUCCACUACAACAGGAUCUCUCCCAUAAUGUCAUUAAUAAGUGAAACACUCAGCCCAAACAAGACAAGUCCACACACAGGCAGAAACCCCUAGCUGGGCCCUGGCGCCCCUCAGUCUGAAACACACAAGGAUGGCUGCCCAGUCUGCACACAGACUUACAGAAUUUCGUAAUUGCCGAGAACUUCCUUCGGGGGUGACUUGUUCCAUUUACAGUCCGGAAUCUCGCCAUUAGGAACGGCAAUAUUGAGGGUGUCGUUGAUCAGGUUAUACUUAAGGAUUCGGUCGUUGGCAGUGCUGGAGGUAAGAGAUGGGGACGCGUUCACCUACGAGAGGAAAAGGAACCACGUUCUUCACUUGGAUCACAGAUUCCCAUGGCACGAACACACAUGCUGCAGAGGGAAAUGCCAGCUACCACAUGUUUUAGGUCCAGCUGUCAUUUCAUACUGUUCAUAUCUAAUAUCCUCAGGUGCUUUGUAUAGGAAGCGUUUUAGGAUCUGCUUCCAUUAGCUAUUGGAUGAAAUAUAAAUAAUACUGAAAACAGUUGGGAUUAUGACCUACAAAUCACU